AUGUACCAGACUUUCCAAAUAAUCUUGCCAUCUGGAAGCCCAUUCUUGGUCUUUAAAGUAUUUAAAGGUUUUGCAAAAGUGCUCAUAGGUGAAACAGCAGGAAGCAUCUACAACCAUCUCAGAGGGAGCCUUCUGCUUCCAGGAAUAAAGUCACACAUUCACAGGUGCUUCCUGUUUUUUCAAACACUUUGCCCACCUUCUGCACACCAAGCUUGCAUUCUGCAAAACGUGAGCCCAACAGGAAGCUGCCUGCAAAUUCAGGUAGCUUUUCUUACUCUUAACCAGGUCUUGAAAAUACUUUCAGAGAAAUGCCAGCAAAAACUACAGUCAUCUGGGGAAGAACAAACCUGGAAGAAAAAUACACAGAGGACUAGCACCAAGAGGAAAGGAAGGUGGAGAAAUGGAGAACAGGAUAAAGGCCUGGAAUCCUUGCUACUCCAGAAAGCUAAUAGCCAUGAUUGGCCAGUGAGAAGAGGGAGGAGGAAGGACUUCAAUGACCCCAGAAGAUUUCAGAGCAGAGAAGAGAGCGGCAUUAGCCUGGCACUGUUCUUUGGUACCAAGUCCCCCUGUCAACCACUGCAAUCUGCAUGCACUCUCUAAAAAGAAGAAGAAGUAGAAGAAGAAGAAAAAGAAAGAAAUAUUAUGAAGAACUUUAUGCCAAUAACGUAACAACUUUAAUAAAAUGCACAUAUGUACUGAAUAGUAUGAGCUU
rnacentral:lncRNA from 1 species